rnacentral:rRNA from 1 species
GACGAACGCUGGCGGCGUGCCUAAUACAUGCAAGUCGAGCGAUGAUUAAAGAUAGCUUGCUAUUUUUAUGAAGAGCGGCGAACGGGUGAGUAACGCGUGGGAAAUCUGCCGAGUAGCGGGGGACAACGUUUGGAAACGAACGCUAAUACCGCAUAACAAUGAGAAUCGCAUGAUUCUUAUUUAAAAGAAGCAAUUGCUUCACUACUUGAUGAUCCCGCGUUGUAUUAGCUAGUUGGUAGUGUAAAGGACUACCAAGGCGAUGAUACAUAGCCGACCUGAGAGGGUGAUCGGCCACACUGGGACUGAGACACGGCCCAGACUCCUACGGGAGGCAGCAGUAGGGAAUCUUCGGCAAUGGGGGCAACCCUGACCGAGCAACGCCGCGUGAGUGAAGAAGGUUUUCGGAUCGUAAAACUCUGUUGUUAGAGAAGAACGUUAAGUAGAGUGGAAAUUUACUUAAGUGACGGUAUCUAACCAGAAAGGGACGGCUAACUACGUGCCAGCCGCCGCCGUAA